CUAUCUUGUUAAAUAUCUCCGAAUCCCCUCAAGUUAAGCCAACGUGGGCAAUCAAACCUCGCGAACACGAGACAUGCAGAUAAAAUAUCUCCAUAUACUUUACUCGUGACAGCCAAGCCUGCGUGGGAUAAUCGCCUUAACGGAUAAGCUAUCUGUUUCCUCGCGCAGCUGUUAACUAAAUAUUCCAUAUUUUUUACCUCAAUUUUUUCACGUAAACAAAUGUGAAAUGGAAGUGACAGAAAAAGUAAAGAAUGUCGCGUGUAUAGAAUAAAACAGAAACCUUUAUUUAAAUUAAUUUAAUGGACGCCAUGGCCUACAUUCUACAAGAGUGCGAACGAGACUCGCGCCGUCUGCACCACUCUCAGCGAGACUCCCAGAAGUCGUACAUGACGACACCCACACAACACGUUCACAACCCCAACCUUUGGCUACGUUUCCACUAUACCAAAUCGCUUUCCGUAGCAGGGCGAAAAAGCAUCUAUCCGAUACGGAAUGUACAACUUUCAGAAGCUGAGCGAAACAACAUCUCUCCGUUGCAAUAAUUCCUCUGAAAAUAGCGUUCCUAGAAGGUACAGAUAGGUGUUUUUCACGUCGCUACAGAAAGCUAGCCCGGUAGCGUAAUCCCUUCAGGAUUCGUAGAAACAUUGCAACCCAGGGAUCAUUAUUUCCAUCAAAUCACUUCAUCUUUGCAUGAAACGGGAACACUAAAGACUUGUACACAAGACAAUUAUAAUGAACAUGAAAACCACUGAAAAAGUAAAAUACAUUAUCCACUUGCCAGUAGAUUUUUUCGCCCACUUUGUUGAUUUAGAAGUGCAGAGAAAGAAAUUUGUUCGGUUCCAAUUAUGCAGUUGAAACGCUGAAAAUGUAUUGCUGAAGGUCCAACCCAAGAUCUCUCGUUUAAUGUAGAGGCUCGAGGACAUUGUAACCAGCGUAGCAACGUAUAUAGAUGCAACUGAAACAAGAGAUAUUGGGUUCGAUCACUCGACUCCACCUGCAGGAUUGCACAAGUUCUGAGGAAACAAGCUUAAUGCUGCUGUUCAACAGUCAACAUACGUGUUUCCGUUGCAUCAAAGUCUACUGUUAAUCGCUGCAUGCAUUGCCAACAUGCGUCAUUUCCUUGCCGGUACGUGGCUAUGUAUUCUGGCAAAAGCUAUACCACGGAUUUAUCAGUAGUUUGCACUUACUGUCAAGUAUUACCCUCACGAAGUAAUAAUGGGGGAUGUGCACUUUCUCAGAAUUUUAGAGCAGUCCAAUGGAAUGUUAGAAUUUUAGCAGCCUCCAACGUUAGAUCAAUACCCCCAAGGCAUUUGACAUCUCGUGAUGGGUAUAGUUCAGUAGGAACUAGGAAACCAGUAGCAGCCGACAGUUUAAAAAGUUAUAAUACAAAAUGCCCACAUGCACAGAGAAUUGCCAGUUGUCAAUACAAGAUUACUUUUACACAACCUAACCGAUUGCAAAAUGUUAUUUGCAAAGCACUUGUUGACAUGCCAUUAGGAAGAUCACUGGUCAAUACAUGUCCACAGGAAUCAUGUGGUAUCACAUUUUUCUGACUUCAAACAUGCCAUAUCGAUUGCAGUCCAGUGUCAAAUGGGAGAUCAACAGGCAUAUUAAACAUGGACUCUAUACAAAGUUUGGUAUAGUCGUCCUCCUCCAACAGUCUGUAACAAACCUUUUUUCAGCUCAUGAUGGCAAUAAGUAGGGCAGACUAAAAAGAGAGAUCAAUAUUUUUUCUGUUAUUCAACUGCUAUGUAAGGUAAAGUCCAGUUUCUAUUGGUUUUGGCUGUUUCGAUCACGUGAAUUAAGGUGGCUGAUGUACUAUACCAUGUUGAUAGAUACGUGGUAAACACAGAAGAACCGACAAAAACAUGCAAUUCCUCACUAUUCAUAUGAUUUCCUGGCGGCGUUCCAAUAAACCAACAAGCCAUAUGUGGAGUACGGUUUAAAUGCAAGAUGAAUUAUUUCAUGCCAUAUUCAGCAAAACACUUCAGUUUAAAUGCGAAAUUAAUGAGAUAUAAAUGCCCACACAAGUAAAGAG
rnacentral:lncRNA from 1 species